rnacentral:rRNA from 1 species
UACGAAGGGGGCUAGCGUUGCUCGGAAUCACUGGGCGUAAAGGGUGCGUAGGCGGGUCUUUAAGUCAGGGGUGAAAUCCUGGAGCUCAACUCCAGAACUGCCUUUGAUACUGAGGAUCUUGAGUCCGGGAGAGGUGAGUGGAACUGCGAGUGUAGAGGUGAAAUUCGUAGAUAUUCGCAAGAACACCAGUGGCGAAGGCGGCUCACUGGCCCGGUACUGACGCUGAGGCACGAAGGCCAGGGGAGCAAACGGG